GAUGAACGCUGGCGGCGUGCCUAAUACAUGCAAGUCGAGCGAACGGUCGAGAAGCUUGCUUCUCCGAUGUUAUCGGCGGACGGGUGAGUAACACGUGGAUAACCUACCUAUAAGACUGGGAUAACUUCGGGAAACCGUAGCUAAUACCGGAUAAUAUUUUGAACCGCAUGGUUCAAAAGUGAAAGACGGUCUUUCUGUCACUUAUAGAUGGAUCCGCGCUGCAUGAGCUAGUUGGUAAGGUAACGGCUUACCAAGGCAACGAGGCAUAGCCGACCUGAGAGGGUGGUCCGACACACUGGAAGUGAGACACGGUCCAGACUCCUACAGGAGGCAACAGUAGGGAAUCCUACGCGAUGGGCGAGAGGCUGACGGAGCAACGCCGCGUGAGUGAUGAACGUCCUCUGAUCGUUAAGCUCUGUUAUUAGGGAGGAACAUAUGUUUAAGUAACUGUGCACAUCAUGACGGUACCUGAUCAAGAAGCCACGGCUAACUACGUG
rnacentral:rRNA from 1 species